rfam:Corchorus olitorius cultivar O-4 contig11956, whole genome shotgun sequence.
GGGUGCGAUCAUACCAGCACUAAUGCACCGGAUCCCAUCAGAACUUCGCAGUUAAGCGUGCUUGGGCGAGAGUAGUACUAGGAUGGGUGACAUCCUAGGAAGUCCCCUGUUGCACCCC